GUUACUGAAAACUGAACUCAGGACCUUUGGAAGAACAAUGCCUUUAACCACUGAGCUACCUCUCCAGCCCCAGAAGCAUUCUUGAAUAGAGUUAGCUGAGCCAGAUCUUAGGUUUACCCAGUCUUCUGUUGUCAGUUGGCUUGUUUUCUAGACCAGAAUAGCCUUUCAGAUCCUAAUCUGACUAGUCUUCUGAUGUCACAUUCACUUCUUUAACCCAGAGAGAGAACUUGCAUAGGUUCCUCAACACUCGUUUUGUGAUUCCUUGUUCUUUCACUAUCAAAAAUUGAGGGACAACCCACCUCAGCAAACUGAAAUCUAAUUGGCCCAGCAGAAGAGAAACUGAAGAGAAGUGUUUCUGUUGAAGUAAAGGUUGUUCACAAAAAGCUUGGUUUUGUUCCACUUUUAUAGAAACAUUCGGAGAGUCAUUACAAUUAGUAAAAGUCUUUAUAUGUGAAUAGCAUUUGUAGAUUGGUGGCACAAAACUGAUUAAUUUCACUUUAUUCUCAAUAUAUUUGUUGUAGAAGCAAAGGCCACUAAGAAGGGUUCCAUCUCUAAGCAACUUUGAAGGUUUUGAUGACAACUGAGGUUUGAAAGAGCAGCUAAAGAGAAGUGUCUAUACAUGGGAGGAGAGCGCAAACAUACAUAGAGACCUUGAAGGUGAAUCUUCUAAGGCAGGGAAGAAGCAGAGACUUAUAUCCAUUGAAUCAAAAUGCAAGAACAUACCAUAUCCAAGGUCAGAGCAAGAAGACAUUUUGUCUUGUUCCUUGGGUUUGCAACUUUGUUCUCUCCUUAGUUUACACACAUAUGUAAACAUAUGCUUCCUGAAACAUCAAAUGAGCCUGACAGACACAGGGGAUGUGUAGCAAUUCAGCUGAAGGAUAUCAGAAACUCAUUUUCUGUCCCUCCUGUCUUAGGCUGACCAGUUCUCUGGUGGUUACUGCUACUGAUCCAUCCAAACUGCUGGACUUCUUCAUACCCAAGGUCUUCAGGCAGUAUCUAAUGGGAAGUCAACUUAAAGGAACCAGACCAUCAUUUCCCAGCCUGCCCUUUUAUUCUGGUGACUGAUGGAAGAGUGGGAGGGAACUAUAAUUGUUUAAUGGUUGGAAAAACAUCAAAUUACCAUACCUCUUCAGUUUCUAUUCCCAUAGAAUUUUGUAACUAUUCUAUUUGGAUAUAUAUAUGGAAGUUGAAGAUGUCUUUCAUUAGAACUGUCUGGAGAGGAUAAGAGUCAGUUUGAAAUACAGUCUUGAAAUAAUGUGCCCAUCUGAGUUUUUUUUUUAAACAUUUUAUAAAAAUACCAUAGAUGGAGCCUGCCUCCUCAUUUCCCCACCACAGAUUUCUUGGACUAGAUACAUGUUUAAUAAUAGCUUGUCUCUGAUAUUCACAGUAGCUACCUCUAUGUGAGGAAAGGAUAGAAAACAUUCAAGACAUCAUACGGGCUUACGAUCUACAGAUUCCAACCAGUAGCAGUGGCUGACUCCUACAUAGAAGACUGGGAACUACAAACAGGCUGGGGUCACCUCAGUGACAUCUGACGCUGUCCAACCAGAAGUCUGACUUGUGUGUUGCAGGAAUUGAAGAAUGUACUAAAAGACUAAAAUAUUUCGUCUCUAUA
rnacentral:sRNA from 1 species